rnacentral:rRNA from 1 species
UACGGAAGGCAGCAGUGGGGAAUAUUGCACAAUGGGCGCAAGCCUGAUGCAGCCACGCCGCGUGUAUGAAGAAGGCCUUCGGGUUGUAAAGUACUUUCAGUCGUGAGGAAGGUGUUAAGGUUAAUAACCUUAGCAAUUGACGUUAGCGACAGAAGAAGCACCGGCUAACUCCGUGCCAGCAGCCGCGGUAAUACGGAGGGUGCGAGCGUUAAUCGGAAUUACUGGGCGUAAAGGGCACGCAGGCGGUUAAUUAAGUUGGAUGUGAAAUCCCCGGGCUUAACCUGGGAAUGGCAUUCAAGCUGGUUAGCUAGAGUCUUGUAGAGGGGGGUUAGAAUUCCAUGUGUAGCGGUGAAAUGCGUAGAGAUGUGGAGGAAUACCGGUGGCGAAGGCGGCCCCUGGACAAAGACUGACGCUCAUGUGCGAAAGCGUGGGGAGCAAACAGGGAUUAGAUACC